rnacentral:rRNA from 1 species
AUUGAACGCUGGCGGCAUGCCUUACACAUGCAAGUCGAACGGCAGCACGGGAGCAAUCCUGGUGGCGAGUGGCGAACGGGUGAGUAAUGUAUCGGAACGUGCCCAGUCGUGGGGGAUAACGCAGCGAAAGCUGUGCUAAUACCGCAUACGAUCUAUGGAUGAAAGCGGGGGAUCGCAAGACCUCGCGCGAUUGGAGCGGCCGAUAUCAGAUUAGGUAGUUGGUGGGGUAAAGGCCCACCAAGCCGACGAUCUGUAGCUGGUCUGAGAGGACGACCAGCCACACUGGACUGAGACACGGCCCAGACUCCUACGGGAGGCAGCAGUGGGGAAUUUUGGACAAUGGGCGCAAGCCUGAUCCAGCAAUGCCGCGUGCAGGAUGAAGGCCUUCGGGUUGUAAACUGCUUUUGUACGGAGCGAAGCGGCUUCCACUAAUACUGGGGGCUAAUGACGGUACCGUAAGAAUAAGCACCGGCUAACUACGUGCCAGCCGCCGCCGUAA